UUGAUAUAAAUAGUUUAAAAUUAAUAUUUAUAGAAGUAUAACGAUUUUAGUAGUGUAAACGAAAUAUAUUAUUAACUAUAGAGAAUUAGUACUGUGAAGGAAAUAUUGAAAUAUUUGAAAAUUUUUCAUAAAAAAAGUACUUUUAAAUUAAGGUACCUUUUGUAUUAGUGGUUAUUAAAAUUAUAAAGUAAUUUUUUUUCUCGAAAAUAAAAGAUCUAAAUUUAUUAGAUAGUUCUUGUGUCAAAAAGAUUUUGAAAAUAAAUUUAGGUGUGAAAUUCUAAUCGCUUUUAUAAAUAUCUAGUUACUUCAGAAAUAAAUUUAGUUUAAAAUGAAAAGAAAGUCUUUAUUUUAAAGAUGUUUUAAAAUCAUUUUUAGAUUUUAGGGGAUGAGCUCUAAAAUUAAUAUAUAAGAAUUGUUUUUAAUUAGUUUUUUAUAGGCUUAGAAUUAGCCAUUAGAAAUUGUUAUAAAAUAUAAUAAUAAGUUUAUGAUUUGAUAAAUUCUUUUUUCCUUAUGAAGUUAACUUAAAAAUUUUAACAUAAUUGAAAAUAUGAUAACAUUAGUAGAUCUUUUAAAUCAAGAGUAUUAUUCAAGUAAAUCAUUGCUAGUUAAUCGUAGAAAACUUGACAAAAGAACUCGGCAAAUAUAAUUUUCGAAUGUUUAACAAAAACAUUUCCUCUUAGAUAAAGAGGUAAGGCCUGCUCACUGAUUAAUUAAAGAGCCGCAGUAUCCUAACUGUGCUAAGGUAGCAUAAUCAUUAGUCUUUUAAUUGGAGACUGGUAUGAAUGGCUAAACGAAAAAUUAACUUUUUUUGUCAUGAAUAUUGAAUUUAAUUUUUUAGUGAAAAAGCUAAAAUAAGUUAGAAAGACGAGAAGACCCUAUAGAGUUUUAUAUUAAGAUAAAUUUUUUCUUAUUAGAUUUUUAUAGAUAAAGUUUAAAAUAGUAUUUUGUUGGGGCGACAUUAAGAUAAACAAAACUCUUUAUUUUAAAAAUUUUAAUUAAAAUAUAGUUUGACCCUUUUAAAAAGAUCAAAAGAAAAAAUUACCUUAGGGAUAACAGCGUAAUCUUUUUUGAGAGUUCUAAUCGACAAAAAGGUUUGCGACCUCGAUGUUGGACUAAAAUUUAGGCAGGGUGCAGCAGUUCUGCUUUAAGGUCUGUUCGACCUAUAAUAUUUUACACGAUCUGAGUUCAGACCGGCGUAAGCCAGGUUGGUUUCUAUCUUCUAAAUUUAUUAUUUUAACUUAGUACGAAAGGAUUGGUUAAUUAUAAUUAUUAUAUUGUAUUGAGGAUUACUAAUAUUUAUUAU